CGGGUCCUCGGGUUAACCGCUUCCGUCGCCAGGACAACAGAGUUUCCGCGCGCGCUGCGGUUUGACCGCCGCCGGUCUCCCAAGACCCCAGGGUGCAUUUGAGGAUUUUGCAGCCAUGGAGGACGGGACUCGGCUGGACAGGAUACUUAAGCUUUCCUGGCUUUGACCUUCUGCUUCUUCUGGGAGCCCUCUCUGGUCCGAGGCAGUGUCUGGAAACUCAUCAUUUCUAAAAUUCCUACCAGGACUCCUCCACCAAUAUAUCUUCAAGGCCUGCGGUGCCCAGAAAGUGGCACUGACCUCUCAGGAGGCAGCCCCUGCCAUUCUUCAACCCCAAAUGCUUCUUUGUAUGAGGCCAAAUUGAUGUUCCCCUGACUGCCACUCUCUGCUCAGAUCUUAGUUCUGCCUCCCAGGGUCUCACUAAACAAAUCCCAUCGCUCUUCUUUGGUUCAUCUAGUCGUAGAUGGAUUAAUACUUUCCUAUAUCAGUUUCUCUUCCUAAACAGCUCUCGUUCUUUGAAACUUCCAUUGGAAAUAGAAGCUUUCUUUUUUUUUUUUUUUCCCCCUUUUUGCAUCCAACAUUCAUGGAUACCUGAAGUAUUCUGGUUACGCAGAGUGAUAAUGAUAAUGAUAGUACUCACAACUCAUGAUUCUCCAGCACUAACUGGUCCCAAUCUAAAUAAAACUGUGAGAGAAAUUCUCCAAAGAAAAUCAUGGAAUCAUAUUUAUUGGGGAAUGUGCAACAUUGCAAUGGAAAUUAGCACAACAUCAUAAUGAGAAUAUGUAUACCAGAGUAACCUAUGCUUAUUUCCGAAGAGAGGAAAAGGAAGUUUUUACAGGCAAAAAUGAGAAUUAUAUCAGAUAUUUUCAAACAACAAUCUUUGACCACAAUCAUUAAUAACAAGAGUGACAUCAAAACUGCAUUUGAACAGAUAAUUGCUCAGUAGAUAUCCUUGUGGAAAUACUUUUUGUGUAAGGUUGUAGUGGCCUCUGUACAAGCUUGUAGUUCUGGAUGUCUUUUGUGAUAGUUACUAUCAAACGAUCAUGUGAAAGAAUUCUUUCUUCUUUAUUUUCUCUGGCUUUAUAUACUUUUUUUUUAGGGUUGGCACAAGGGAUUCCAUUUUAAUUCUGACAACUUUCACAUUUCUUUCACUUUUGCAAUUUUUUUUUCCUCUUCACAACAUUAUCCCCAGUCCCAAAGAGGAUGGUUGAUGGUGCCAGAAUUAGAAUCCAGGAGUUUCUGAAUCCCAAAUCCAGGGUGCUUAAUCUCUCUACUACCACUGUUUUAGGCCAGGCAAAAUAGAAGAUACACUGUUUUUGAGACUGAAUGUACUUAAAUUUUCUUUUUCAACUCAAUAAAUUUGAGAACACCCUCAGGAAGCGCUCAAUCAAAAUUCAGAAUUGUUUUACUAUCUCUUUAGGCCAUAUAAAAUGCAGUGCUGACCAGUGCUUAGCUGUUCCCUCUGGUCCCACCCUAUGCUUAGAGGUGAGAUGCUUCUACUAUUGCAGUGGGCCAGGGAUGAUGCUUAUUACCUACUGCUCAACUUUAUUCAAUGCAACCUGACAGGUAACAUCAGGAAUUAUGGACCAAUUCACAUCUGGACUAGCCUUUCAGGUAUUCAAAGUCCAUUUAGCUGCAGCAACCAGCUUGCUUUUGAUUAAGAAGACCUCAUAGAGAUCUACUGAUCUCUCCAGUUUGCAUCCUAUUUCCAAGAACAAUUUUCACUAUAGGUUCACAAUCUGUGGUUCAGGUGACCUAUUUCUGCUUAACAGACUAUACCAGUUCACAUUGUGCUAGACUAUGGAGCAAUCCUUUGGAAAGGAAAGAUGAUUGAUCAUAGAGCUUCAAGGAACUGAUAGCACUGUAUGUGAUGGCUUUUCAACUUCUCUAUUCCUCUUACCCAGGCUGACCCUCAACAUUCUAAAAAAUGCAGGGUGUCCAAAUGACUUCUGGAGAAAUGUCUCUGACAACAACUUCACAAAUAUUAAAUGCAACUGUGCAUAA